CGAAAGGGUGACGAAGCGACGCCGCGUGGGUGAGGAAGGCCUUCGGGUUGUAAAGCCCUGUCAGGAGUUAAGAAAUGUAGGUACGCUAAUAUCGUAUCUAUUUGACAAAGGCUCCAAAGGAAGCCACGGCUAACUCUGUGCCAGCAGCCGCGGUAAUACAGAGGUGGCAAGCGUUGUUCGGAAUUAUUGGGCGUAAAGAGCACGUAGGUGGAUUUGUAAGUCAGAUGUGAAAGCCUUCUGUUCAACGGGAGAAUUGCAUCUGAAACUACAGACCUUGAGUGUAGGAGGGGAGAAUGGAACUUCUGGUGGAGCGGUGAAAUGCGUAGAUAUCAGAAGGAACGCCGGCGGCGAAAGCGAUUCUCUGGCCUAUUACUGACACUCAGUGUGCGAA
rnacentral:rRNA from 1 species